UGCUGGAAUUAAAGCAUAUGUCUUUGGCUGAAGUAACUCCACAUGGUACAGCAACAUGAACCAGAGAUCCCGAACAAGGUGGGCAUCUGGACAAGCUCAGUGUCUUCAGGACUUGUGUUCAUUCCUCCCAAGGCCUCCUGUGCUCACAGGGGGAACUGUGGAAGGUGACGGAAUCAUGGAGGCUGGCAGCUGUCUAGCUGUUUCUCAGCAGCCUUGAGGAAAGCGGCUCUCCUCUAUCAGAGUCUUCCGUCACGCCAUUUCUGCCUUGGAGCACAGAUGAACUGAAAUGUCCAAAACUAUGAGCUCAGAACACUCCUCCGUUAAGUUGCAGCUGCUGGCUCUUGCCUCAGUGAUGAGGAGAGCGACCACAGCGGGAAUGAGACACCUCAAGGCAGAGGCUUUAACCCUGGUUUCCUUGUACAUAGAAUUGAGGGGUUUUUUGGUUUUGUUUUUGUUUCUUAAUGUAUCUGGUACGGGG